GCCUCUUCUCACGAGUUAUUGUAACUUCUGCCGUCUCUACACAGACUGUCCACCCCUUCUCGUCAAAUUCCACAUUUUCUUCUUCACCAAAAACUUUUCUAGCUUCAAUAAUAGGGUCAUCACUUUCUUCCCGUCUUCUCUGUUCACUUGGUGGACCGCCAUCCGACGAAGAAGAUUCGACAAGAAUGUCUGCAGUCUCCAACGGAAAUCCUUCGAUUGUGUCGCCACGUGGCGAGCAUAAAGGAACAUUAAUCUUCCUUCAUGGACUCGGUGAUCAAGGGCAUGGUUGGGCAGAUGCUUUCAAGACAGAAGCCAAACACGAUAAUAUCAAGUUUAUCUGUCCACACAGCUCUGAACGUCCAGUAACCCUCAAUAUGGGAAUGCGAAUGCCAGCUUGGUUCGACUUAUUUGGCCUCGAUCCAAAUGCUCAGGAAGAUGAGCAAGGAAUUAAUCGAGCUACCCAAUAUGUUCAUCAAUUGAUUGAUGCGGAAGUUGCAGCUGGAAUUCCAGCUUCUCGAAUUGCUGUCGGUGGAUUUUCAAUGGGUGGAGCUCUCGCUAUUUACGCUGGUCUCACAUAUCCACAGAAACUUGGAGGAAUUGUUGGACUCAGUUCAUUCUUUUUGCAGAGAACCAAAUUCCCAGGGAGCUUCACUGCGAACAAUGCUACACCAAUCUUCCUCGGACAUGGAACAGACGACUUUUUGGUUCCUCUUCAAUUCGGACAAAUGUCCGAGCAGUAUAUUAAAAAAUUCAAUCCGAAAGUUGAGCUUCACACCUACAGGGGAAUGCAGCAUUCGAGCUGUGGAGAGGAGAUGCGUGAUGUGAAGACCUUCUUGAGCGCCCACAUUGCCCACUAA
rnacentral:misc_RNA from 1 species